GUCAGGUGAAAAAUAAGCUUUCAUCAGGGAGGAACUCGCAAGUUUGGAUUUUUAGAAUCAAAACAUUGCUGAAAAAUGGAAGAUUCUGAGCAUAGAGAUGAUCAAAUAACAAAUAUAAUUAAUCCAAUUAUUCAAGGAACUCAGUUGUCACUAAUAGGAGCUGAGCUUGUUUCUUUGCCUGCUGGUUUAUGUGAAGAACACGGAAAUGUGAUCACCAGGUUAGAUUUGAGUUUCAACUGUUUAAGGACAUUGGUUGGGCUAGAGUCAUUUUCAAAUUUACAGGAGCUAGUAUUGGACAACAAUGAGAUAGACGAUCAAGUACGAAUACCAAGGCUCCCUCAACUGCACACAUUAAUGAUUAAUAAAAACAAAAUUACAGAUUUGGAAGUAUUAUUGGAACAACUAAAAAAGCAACUACCAUGCUUGACCUACAUUAGUCUCCUAGGGAACAUAGCUUGUCCAAAUGAGCUCUCAGCCUCAGACAAAGAUGAAGAGGAUUAUAAAAGAUACAGGUGUUUAGUGUUGUACCAUCUUCCAAAUUUAAAGUUCCUUGACUCGAAACGGAUUACAAAAAGAGAGCGAGAAGAGGCUAAACGGAAAGGCCCAUUCCUGAAGGUUGUUAAACCCAAUGAAACGACAAGUGAUUCUCAUGAAGGUCAGUCGUCACCAGACCUAUACACACCGUUGCCCCAAGUACUCAAAGAAGGUGGUCAACACCAAGGAACGUUUGGGCAGUGCAAGUACGUCUACUAUGGCCGCCACUCAGAGGGUAAUAGGUUCAUCCGCAACACUGACCUUUAACCCCCCUUUAGAUGCAUUUUUUUGUGCCAAAAGAAAAGAUGAUAAAUAUACCAAUGAACAUGAAAUUUUGGUGAAAGUUCAUUUACGUUGAUUUUGAUUUUGGUAUAGUUUGCAUGAUUCAUUCCAUCUCAAAAUGAAUGAAAGUGAGUGGAUGAAUAAAAUAAUUUAUUUUUACAGUUCAGUAAUUUACAUAAAUCUCAGCCUAUGUUCACAAUUAUAUGGCCCUCAUCUUGGGUCCAAGGACCUAGCCCUAGUGGGGAAAAGGUAGUGAACCCCUUUGCAGAGCAUUGAUAUGAGCAUUAUUCCAACCCAAACAUUCUGAGUGAUUAUUUCCCAGAACAUUAAGAAAUUUUUCUGUAAUAUUGAAAUGUAAUAAAUAAGUCACCAAAUAGGACACUUUUUUUUUUUUUUUUUUACCAAAACGGUCUGUAUAUAGGUUUGUACAAGAUGAGGGGUGGGAUAAAAAAGUUUUUUUUGUUUUUAUUUUUUAAAUGUAGAAACUGAAUAUAUGUACACUAAAGGUCUCCUUGCAAUUUCGGCUAAUUCUUUUGUGGUUUGGGAUUAGAAGAGGGAUCUUUAAUUGGAGUAAGACACAUGAUUAAAAUGAACUGCUGCACUAUGUAUUAGGUCAAGCUCACCAGCUUCAGUUACUUUUUAAAUGUGUUAAAAAAGUUCCAAAUCACAACAACCAACAUUGUAUCACCUUGGCAGUAGUAGUACCAACCACGAGGUGAGAAAAGUUUAGAGUUAACCAAGCGUGAAACGGUUGUAGUGGGUGUGCUAUGGAACCGGCGGUCGUGUGAAAACAAAAUCGUGUAAAAAAAGAAUUUUUUUUUUUUUUUUUUUUUACACUACACAAUUUUGAUUUUAAGAAAAAAAAAACCAUGCCCCUCAUAUUUCAGAUUUUAGGUGUGGCGGAUGACGGCAAACAACUUUUUAAUUUUGGAUUUACCUUGGAAAUGUGAUUGAUAUCUGCACCUUACAGCUAUCAUUCCAACUUAGACAACUUAUCAACCACUGUGACAGAAAUACAAACAGAUUAUUUGUUAUUUUGACAUGCAAACUUCAAACACCCAUUUACUCUUUCUUAGGCAAGACUUUUUUUAUAUCGCCAUCCCCACCCCCAAAAAAAGAUGAUUUCAAAUAAAAAUUAAAUUUUAUUUUUGACCAAUUAGUGCACCUGCCAAAAUGAAAAAAUGGAAGUUUCAGAAAAAAUAAAAGUUUUUCUUAAUUUUGUUACGCCGUUCGCUGCCUUGAACUUUCCAAAAAAGUAAGAUAAGAUAACUAAUUAUGUAAAUUUGUAACAUUUAACCAUCCCAUUAUUACACUGUUUACAUUUCACCAAUAAAAGUUUAUUUUUAUUUUCUCCUCCAUGUGGAUGUUUUAGCAAAACUACUUGCUAAAUAAGAAAACAAAAUUUUUGUUUUAAAUUUUUCCGCCCUCCUCCGACAGUCUUUUAAAGAAUAUGGUCGGGAAACGAGGUAUAAAAAAUGUCUCGUCUUACCAUGGGUAGGUUAAUAGAAGUGGCAUGCUUAUUUUAGUUUUAGCUCUUCUUUCACACUGCCACUUUUUGGCAUUCACUGCCAACUUUGAGCUGCCCAUCUCAAAUGACCUUGUGAAGUUUGCAAUGCAAUAUAACUGUUUCUUUCUCUCAUAAAUAUUUACAUUGCUCUUUCUCUUCUGUUAUUAAUAUGAUUUAUAUAUGUCCCACAUCUCAUUUCUACUGGGUACAGCCUACAAAAUCAAGCGUUCAAGUUACUGUUGAAAAGCAAAGUGUUUUGCUGUUGAUACAUCAUUUAUACUGUACGAAAAUAGGAGGUAUCUUAUUUUAUAUUUAUAGUUUUACAUUUUGUUGAACACUGUAAUUUAAAAUUUCAAAAAUCAAUGCAAAUAAUUAAGGUUUGUUGUGUUUUUGUGUGUGAUGAUGAUGCUGUUCUAAAUGGAGAUUUAUUUUUAUGUUAUGUGUCUACCUUCGGAAUAUUGGUACUAUAUUCAAAUAAAUUUAUUUGGUUUGUAUUAAUUUAAUGGUCAUAAGUUUGUUUUACAAAACCAAACAGAAAAUUUUCAUAGUAUAUUAGUCCUAAAUGGAAUCUUUAUAUGGAUCUUUAUAUCAUAAAUUAAGAUUUUGAAUUUGGUACAGUCUAGCAUGAGCAUAUUCCUGGGCCUAUCACGUUCUCAAUUGUCAGUUGUAAAGUUUGAUUGACACUUUGGGAUAGUCCAUUGUGAGUCUGCAAAUAAUAUAGAAAUAGUCAUUAUUUAUCGUAUUUAUUUACUCAAUGCAGAAAAUAUUCAUAUAUAAAGUCUGAAAAGAAAUGUCUGAAGAUAUUUUUUUUCACAAAUGUAUGAAUUAUGAUUUUUUUGAUAUAUUAUUACAAAGAUUGAAAUUUACUUUUUUACAAUAAUUCCAAAUAUUUGAAAUUGGCAGCUGCAGUGCCGCGCCAGUACCGACAUGUAAUGUAAGAUAGACACACUGAGUCAUGAAGGAACGGUUGAAGCAUCAAAGGAGAAGGGCAGACCCCAUUGAUAUAUACAUGAAUAUUUAGAUUACUGUAGUCAUUUUUGUUUUUUAAGUCUGCAGAAAUGGAAUAUUAAAUGUCACUGAAAUUACGUUAAAUAUUAUUAAAUAUUAAUAUAUCUACUGGUAAAUGUUCACUCUUGUCUGACCCCUGUUUUUGUUAAAUUUUACAAAUAUUUAUUCAUUAUGAUUUGUUGAUGCCUUGAAUAAUCUUGUAUAGUUCUACACUUUUUUAGAAGUAUAUGGGGAGCAUUUUCCUUUAUCGUAUAAAAUGUAUUAAAUAGCUAGAGAAAAUCACCUUAUUGUAUCCAUUUUAUUUUUAUGCUUAUGUAACAUAUUACUGCUGCACAAAUUAAAAUUAUUUUUAAAAAUUGUACUUUUACAAUUGUCAUACAAUAACACAUUCUACAAUUAAUUUCCAUAGUUUCUUCAUGUCUGUAAAAUUAUGUUCCUGCUAUGCUAUUAUACUAAUGUACAAUCUGAUGCCAUCAUUAUCUCCUUACUAAUUAUUUCUUUUGUGUGAUUGUGUGCUCCAGUCCAUUCUGUUGGGCGAAAUUUCCAGUAUUCGUAUAAGCCAGCGUUUUAAAAAUAAGUUUGUAAAUAAUGUGCUUAGAAAUAUAUCGUAAUUAAUGCACUCUAUAUAAAGUACUGUAUGUGAAAAUACUUAUUUUUAUUUUAUUUAUCUUAUUUUAACUGUUUUUAAUCUUUAUCUAGACCUAUUUUAGCAGAAAUAGUAUAUCAAUCUUGGAAUGUAGUUUUGGAAAUCACAAUACUUUAAUUAAAAUUGUUUUAGAUGCAUUUAUAUUAUACCUUAUAAAAUAGAUGUACAGAGUUGUCAAAUUAUUUAUAGAAUGUAGGCGAACAAUGAAAUAAAGACAAUCACAGGCUUACAGUA
rnacentral:misc_RNA from 1 species